rnacentral:rRNA from 1 species
CCCUUAGAUGUUCUGGGCUGCACGCGUGCUACACUGAUUCCUUCAACAAGUGUUUUAACUGGAGAGUUCGCGUAAUCCUGAAAUGUUAUCGUGAUGGGAGUAGAGUAUUGUAUUUGUUAAUCUUUAACGAGGACUUCCUAGUAAGUGUAGGUUUAUUUGUUUUUUUUUUACGUCCCUGCCCUUUGUACACACCGCCCGUCGCUCCUACCGAUUGAUUGAUCCGGUGAAUUACAUAGAAUUUUGCGUUUUACAUGACGGAAGAUGAAGUGUUUUAAACCUUAUCAUUUAGAGGAAGGAGAAGUCGUGACA